CGCACGCGGGGAGGCGGCGGCCACGGCACGCCGAGUCCUCUGCCCGGCGACUGAGGACUUGGGUUGGUGAAGACUCGAGGCGGGCGUGCGUGCGCGCGCUCGGCCUCUCCCACUGCUGCUUAGGCUCCCUCUUUAACUCGCGUUCAUCUGGGGCGCUCUUUUUUCUGGGUUUCCUCGCGCGCUGGGCCCGCCGCCGCGCCGAGGUAUGAAGAACAGUGAUUAUUAUACAAUUGGAAAGAAAGGCAAAGAAAAUGCUUUUUGUUCUGGAUUGGGCAACUGAACAGAAACUGCAAUUUUAGGAUGAAGAAGGGAAGAGGAAGAACAAGCCGGAUCAGAAGACGGAAACUCUUCAGAAGUUCUGUAUCAAGAGGAGGCCUUUACAGCUGUAAAUUUCCCUUCUUCAUAGUUCUGGAGGCUAGAAGUCCAAAAUCAAGGUGUCAGCAGGAUUGGUUUCUUCCCAG